GAUGAAAGCGAGGUUAACUUAUGAAGCGUUCCUUUGCAGAGCAGUUUUAUUUGGCUUUUUUUACUGCAACACGGCGUGUUUCUGGUUCAUGGCUGGCCUGCCCUGGCCCUCAACAACGUGUGCAGAUGCUUGAUGAACUCAUGCAGUGGCACUGUUCAUAUCCUUGUGCUUUGCACAGACAUCAUCGUUCUCAUCAAGUGUGACUGAGUAUUGGUGCUUUUAACCAACCAGCGGCAAUCGUGCUGCUGGUUUUUUUC
rfam:Mangrovibacter sp. MFB070 Contig-019, whole genome shotgun sequence.